UACAGAGGGUGCGAGCGUUGUCCGGAAUCACUGGGCGUAAAGGGCGCGUAGGUGGCCCGACAAGUCCGUGGUGAAAGCUCGACGCUCAACGUCGAGUCGGCCAUGGAUACUGUGGGGCUGGAGCACUGUAGAGGCUCAUGGAAUUCCGGGUGUAGCGGUGGAAUGCGUAGAGAUCCGGAAGAACACCGGUGGCGAAGGCGGGUGAGCUGGGCAGUAGCUGACACUGAGGGCGCGGACAGCGUGGGGAGCAAACAGG
rnacentral:rRNA from 1 species